UUGGCGAUCAGGUACGGUAAUGGAAUAUCUGUAAAAUGCCUCAUCUACAAUGCCACCGGUGCGACUCUGAGCUUGGCUACCUACAGCGAUUGGCACGGGCAUAUCUAUGAUACACCCUACCCAUCAGAUAUUCAGAAUGGGCAGUGGGGGGCAUUUCUCCACGUCCACCCACGUGGAGCUGCGGCUGGUUCAGCUGGUGCCGUUGUGUAUCGUACCAAGCUCCCCUCCGGCGACGACGGCUCCUGCGAUUGGUUGUUCAGCAACGGGGUAAAUACUGCAUGCAUACAUACGGCGUACACCGAAAUCCGUGAGGAAGACCACUACCCAAGUGUUGGAAGCUGGGAUUUUAUCUACAAUGAGAAGCUGGAAAAUUCAAAUGCCAACUCUACUGAUGACAACUAUGGAUAUGUUUCCAAGACUGACAUCGGUGAAGGCAGUACCAUGAACGCCCCUGGAGUUUUCCAGUUUCCCUACUAG
rnacentral:rRNA from 1 species